rnacentral:pre_miRNA from 1 species
GCUCGCUUAUGGGUGUAUGGUGUUAAGCGUCAGGGACAAGUUUGUUAACUGAUGUGUGGAUGGUGUUCAGCACCAAGGACAGGUAUGCUCGCUU